AAUGAACGCUGGCGGCAGGCCUAAAACAUGCAAGUCGAACGCCCUAGCAAUAGGGAGUGGCGCACGGGUGAGUAACAUGUGGGAAUAUGCCUUUUGGUACGGAACAACGUUUGGAAACGAACGCUAAUACCGUAUGGUCCCUCCGGGGUAAAGAUUUAUCGCCAAAAGAUUAGCCCGCGCUAGAUUAGCUAGUUGGUAAGGUAAUGGCUUACCAAGGCGACGAUCUAUAGCUGUUCUGAGAGGAAGAUCAGCCACACUGGGACUGAGACACGGCCCAGACUCCUACGGGAGGCAGCAGUUAGGAAUAUUGGACAAUGGGCGCAAGCCUGAUCCAGCCAUGCCGCGUGAGUGAUGAAGGCCUUCGGGUUGUAAAGCUCCUUAGCCGACGAAUAUAAUGACUGUAGUCGGAGAAUAAGCCCCGGCUAACUUCGUGCCAGCCGCCGCGGUAAAAC
rnacentral:rRNA from 1 species